UAUGCAUCUUCAUAAUUGCUUAUGAGGUGAAAUCUAGUUUCACCACAUUACAAAGUCCCAAAAGAUACAAGUGUAGUCAGUCACGUGGGUUUAAUUUUAAACCAGAAUGCUAUCUGGUUCUUCAUUUCUCAUCAAUCUUGUCUUCUUCGGAAAGCUCAGCUUCUCUCAUUUCUCCCUAAAAAAAUUAUUGAAAAUUCGUAACUUUCUUUCUACUCGUCCAUUUGACAAAAGAUUUUUGCCUACGAAUUUAGUGAACGUAGCCAAACAAGUUUAGGUUCAAUCGAGAUUAAGGAGCCAAGCUGGAGGAAUUCAGGUAAGCUAUAAGCUUAUAUAUUGUUGCUGUUAAGUUUUGGGGAAGAAUUCAAGCAAGCUACGGAAGCCUUUGAAGCUGGGCAGUGGCUUGGCUUGAAGGCUGGAACUUGGAAGGGAAGGGCGAAGGUGUGAAGCGGGGAAUCUAGGCAGUGGCUUGAAGGCUGGCUUGUCUUCUUGAGUUGAUUCAUGGGGGCUCCAAUAAGGUUAAUCCCUAUAUGUCAGUUUUUUUUUUUUUUCAGUACAUUGAUAUUUUUACAUUAAGGGAAUGGGGAGUAUAGCUAAGCCACACAAUGGACAGUCUAAUUUGGUAUUGAUGCAAAUAAGGUCAAAAUCACAUGAAACACUUGGAAGAAUACAAGGAUGUUGUAGUAUAGAUCCU